GUACACUCCUGCGGGAGGCAGCAGUGGGGAAUAUUGCACAAUGGGCGCAAGCCUGAUGCAGCCAUGCCGCGUGUAUGAAGAAGGCCUUCGGGUUGUAAAGUACUUUCAGCGGGGAGGAAGGCGAUAAGGUUAAUAACCUUGUUGAUUGACGUUACCCGCAGAAGAAGCACCGGCUAACUCCGUGCCAGCAGCCGCGGUAAUACGGAGGGUGCAAGCGUUAAUCGGAAUUACUGGGCGUAAAGCGCACGCAGGCGGUCUGUCAAGUCGGAUGUGAAAUCCCCGGGCUCAACCUGGGAACUGCAUUCGAAACUGGCAGGCUAGAGUCUUGUAGAGGGGGGUAGAAUGCCAGGUGUAGCGGUGAAAUGCGUAGAGAUCUGGAGGAAUACCGGUGGCGAAGGCGGCCCCCUGGACAAAGACUGACGCUCAGGUGCGAAAGCGUGGGGAGCAAACAGGAUUAGAUACCCCAGUAGUCCCAUGA
rnacentral:rRNA from 1 species